rnacentral:rRNA from 1 species
CAAUAGAUACCCGGGUAGUCCACGCCGUAAACGAUGAGUGCUAGGUGUCACGGGCUUUGACCCGUCGUGGUGCCGUAGCUAACGCAAUAAGCACUCCGCCUGGGGAGUACGGCCGCAAGGCUAAAAACUCAAAGGAAUUGACGGGGGGCCCGCACAAGCGGUGGAGUAUGUGGUUUAAUUCGACGCGACGCGCAGAACCUUACCUGGGCUAGAAAACGUAGGAACCUGGGUGAAAACUCGGGGUGCUCUUCGGAGAAUCUACGGUUAGGUGUUGCAUGGCUGUCGUCAGCUCGUGUCGUGAGAUGUUGGGUUAAGUCCCGCAACGAGCGCAACCCUUGUCGUUAGUUGCCAGCAUUGAGUUGGGCACUCUAACGAGAUUGCCGACUUUCAAGUCGGAGGAAGGUGGGGAUGACGUCAAGUCCUCGAUGGCCCCUAUGUCCAGGGCUACACACGUGCUACAAUGGUCGGUACAAAGGGCUGCGAAACGCGAGGUGGAGCCAAUCCCAAAAACCGGGCCUCAGUACGGAUUGGAAGUCUGCAACGUCGUACUCCAUGAAGGGAC